rnacentral:rRNA from 1 species
UCUAACAUUUGGAAAUAGGGAGAGCCUGGGAAUACCAGGUGCUGUAAGCUUUACUUUUUUCGUCAAUUGAUCUAAUAUACUGCAGAAGGGUGGCUGAUCUUUAAAUAGCCCACACUUUGCAGCAGCCCUCGCUUACGGCCAUACCAGCCUAGAAA